UUAUGUCUUUAUUUUACAGUAUAUAAUAUAAAAAAAUACAUCAUAAUAAAUUGAGAAAAUACAAGGGAUGGGUACAGGUAUCCUUAUCCGUGGCUCUUGCCCAGAACAUCAAUGAAAAAUAUACCAGCAUUUUAUAUGUAAAAAGGGGCACUCAGGGGUUAAAAACUCUUCACAGGUAAUAUUUGAUCAAAAUAAUUCCGGGUAUUUCUUUUCUGAGGCGGGUACCCGUUGAACUCAAUUUAUGUUUGAAAACUGUUCCUAAUUGUAUUGUAGACAUUAAAAGAAGAGCUAUUUGUAUUAAAAUAACGCAACCUCGCAUAUUUUAUGAGUUUGUUAAAUGAUUACGUCUCCAAAGUAUAUUAAUUUAAGGUUGUAGUCCAUAGAAAUAGUUCUACCAAUGUAUAUUCAUUUCAUCAAUAAAAAUAAGCAUUUCAAAGAUUUAUUUUAUUUUAUGAAAUGAAGUGUGAGGAAGAGUGUGAUCCUUUUUCAACUUGCCAAGAUACCUGAAUAGACCUGGAAGUAGCAUGGAAUGAUUAUUUGAUUGUUAUGAAUCAGAUGAUGAUUAUAUUGAACAAAGCUUCCCAAUGCAAUCAUCAAAGGAUAAUGAAAAUGAAUCGUGAACUUCAGAGAACAAAUGGAGUUCUUUUUCUGGAGCAGUAGCCCCGGAGUCAGGAUAAUGUAUAAACAUUUUUUACAAGAACCAAGAAGGACAAAAGGUGUUUAGUAAUCUCUGCAAACAAAAAUAAAAUAAUAACAGCUUGUGGGAGUAUUACCUCUAAUAUGGGAAACAUCUAAAGUCUCUACUCUUGUGUAGUUCAGUAAAGAGUCUAAUAUAUCGUAAUAUUUGUGUCGUGUCAGAAGGUCAUCCAAUCCUCCAAAAAAUAAAUUCGACAAUCUUGUUUUGGAAAUGAUUAUCUAUUAUGUUGAAGAUUCCGUAUUCCGAAAUUUGGUCGCCAAUCUUGAUCCAGGAUACGUUUGCCUAAUAGAAAGACAGUAACUAAUAAAUUGCUCCCUUUUAAGUUCGACAGAAUGAAGACUCCUCUCAUGGAUGAAUUAGCAACAGUAUAACAGAUUUGUCUAACUACAGAUAUUUAUACUUCCUGUAACAAUACCGCUAUAAUAUUUUGACCGCACAUUUCAUCAAUCGUAUCCAAACCCCAGAUCAAAGUCGUUCUUGUCUUCCGCAGAGAUAACUUACUUGCCAUUUAUUUAUGAAUGCCCAUAAUGUAAAUAAUAUUCAGUCUUUUAUUGAAAAUACUAUCCUUGAGCUAUCCAUUAGGGGAAAAGUUGUUGCUAUUAUACCGACAAUAAACAUGUUAUGGCUCGGUCUGUUAAAAAUACCAAUAUCAAGCAUGUCAGCUCAUGUACCCACACUCUUGAUUUGGUAGCUCAAAAGGGGAUGAAGCAUAAUACUGUAUUGUAUGACCAUAGGAAUAAAAUUAAGUCAAUUUUUAUCUUGUCAAGACAAAUGCAAAGCGAGUACUUCAUUAAGUUUAAUGUAUAAUUCUUCUGUACUAUUGUUUAUUUUAUGA
rnacentral:lncRNA from 1 species